ACACACUCACACUAACAGACACACUCACUAACAGACACACUCACUCACACACUAACAGACACACUCACUAACAGACACACACUCACUAACAGACACACUCACUCAUUAACAGACACACUAAUAGACACACACACAGACACACUAACAGACACACACACAGCGAACACACACACACACACACACACACAGUAAUAGACACACACUAACAGACACACACACACACAAACAGACACACACAUACACAAACAGACAAUAACAGACACACAC